UGCUCCCGCCUUAGGAUCCCCACGGAGGGCCCGCCGGAGACGAAUAGGAGACCGGCCGGCGCGCACCGGGACCUCGGCAUCGUCACACGACCUUCCCAGCUGGGCGUCCUUCUCUCAGGCUCUGGCUUGGGACCGGCCCUUGGGCCUGGGCCGUCGGUGCCAGCCGCGUCCAGGGUUCUCCCGCUUUCCAGAGCCCUAUAUAGAGUCGGCCAGGACAUAUAGCCCUUUCCAGCAAGAGCCAUUGACACCCCUGGGUCAUCACCCUGAGACUCCAUCCCGUGCCAACUUGUCAAAGCCAGGUCAUUGCUUGGUCACUGUGUGCUUUGCAGGUCCUGGGGACGGCCCCUUGGAGCCUGUCCUACCCCCGCCCUACCCCAGUGGGCUUAGGUCAGCUUGUGCCUUAGUAUCUUGGGCCUACUGCAGGAGCCAGCCACCCGUCCCCUUGCUGUCUGGGGGUCUGUGGCCCUGAGACCGGCCGGCUUGUGUGUGCUUCUAGCCAAGUCCCUCUGGGGACACCUCUCCCCCGCCCAGAAGCUUUGCAGGAAUGUAGGGCGAGAAUAAGCAGUGUCGUGUGUUUUCCUGUGUGGGUGUCUGACAGGCCCAGCGUCCAGCUGCUGCGUCCAGGGAUGCCAAGCCUCGUCCAACCCCGGGGACCUCAGUAGCCAUGGUGUGACCGACAGCACUACCCUCAACCCUUUGCACGCUUGGGGGUUGGGAGCCCAGGAUCUGGUGUCGGUGGUGCUGCCCACUCACCCACUGUGGACUGAAGGCUGGCCUUGCCCGCCACCAGGCAGACCCGAGCACCCUGGCCAAGGUUGUUUCCUGCAACGCCACCUAGUGAUGUUGGGUAUCUGGAGACAGUGGCACUGCCUGGCUCUGACCACCUGAAUUUGGCCCUACCAGCUCCUGGUCACAGUGGCUAUAACCUUCCUUCCACCCCAGCAACCACCAGCGACCCGGGCCCUGCUGGUGCCCCCGCAGCACUUACACCCUACCUCUCUGUGUCUUAGCUCUGCCCGCCUCCGCGUGGCGCGGGUCAGGUGUGAACCUGGCACCGAUGUUUAAAUGUCCAUUGUUCUCAGACCAGAAA